rnacentral:pre_miRNA from 1 species
AAAAAGACAAACCCUGGUUUCUGUGUCCAAUGUUUGACCGUCCGUCUUACUUGAAAAAAUUAUGAAAAAAAUUAAAAAGAUAAGUCACGCACAAAGUAUUAAUCAUGUUUUAUCAUCUAACAACAAUAAAAACACGAAUUAUAAAAAAAAUCAUAUAAGACGGACAGUUAAAGUUGGACACGGAAACCCAGGGUUUGCCUUUUU